UACGAACCGUACAACCGUUAUUCGGAAUCACUGGGCUUAAAGGGUGCGUAGGCGGCCAUGUAAGUGAGGUGUGAAAUCCCUCGGCUCAACCGAGGAACUGCGCUUCAUACUGCAUGGCUUGAGGGAGACAGGGGUAAGCGGAACUGAUGGUGGAGCGGUGAAAUGCGUUGAUAUCAUCAGGAACACCGGUGGCGAAAGCGGCUUACUGGGUCUCUUCUGACGCUGAGACACGAAAGCCAGGGGAGCGAACGGG
rnacentral:rRNA from 1 species